rnacentral:rRNA from 1 species
AUUGAACGCUGGCGGCAUGCUUUACACGUGCAAGUCGAACGGUAACAGGCCGCAAGGUGCUGACGAGUGGCGAACGGGUGAGUAAUGCAUCGGAACGUGCCCAGUCGUGGGGGAUAACUGCUCGAAAGAGCAGCUAAUACCGCAUACGAUCUAUGGAUGAAAGCGGGGGACCGUAAGGCCUCGUGCGAUUGGAGCGGCCGAUGUCAGAUUAGGUAGUUGGGGGGGUAAAGGCGCACCAAGCCAACGAUCAGUAGCUGGUCUGAGAGGACGACCAGCCACACUGGGACUGAGACACGGCCCAGACUCCUACGGGAGGCAGCAGUGGGGAAUUUUGGACAAUGGGCGCAAGCCUGAUCCAGCAAUGCCGCGUGCAGGAAGAAGGCCUUCGGGUUGUAAACUGCUUUUGUACGGAACGAAACGGCCUGGGUUAAUACCCUGAGCUAAUGACGGUACCGUAAGAAUAAGCACCGGCUAACUACGUGCCAGCCGCCGCUGUAACAC